GUGGCUCAGUGGGUUGAGAAUCUGACUGGUAUUCAUGAGGAUGCAGGUUCGAUCCCUGCC
rnacentral:tRNA from 1 species